rnacentral:lncRNA from 1 species
AAUUAGCCUUUCAUUUCUCUAGUUUUUGAAGUUCAAGCUUAUUAGUGUCCUGGCUUCCACGGUUUUAUCAUCUGUUUUGAGCUGUUAGAUUCUAUUCUUUGUGAGCUUACUUCAUUUUUUUUUUUUUUUGAUCCUCACGCAUAAGCAAACAAAAGCUAACUCAGAGAAUAUCAUGACUUAACAGAUCUGGCACUAGUCCCAUGGCUGUAUUUUGUUCUGUCAAGGAAAACACUGGGUAAAAUCUGCUGCCUAUCAGAAGGAAGCAGUGUUUGUCUUCUAGCCGAUUCUAUUCCUAAUCUACGUUUGAGCACCAUAGAAGGACCUGUCUACUGCAUAGUUCAGCAUGUAACAACAGACACAGCUACGAAGUAGACUUAGUCACCUUAGGUUUUAUUGAAUUUGGGGAAAUUUCUAGCAAACAGACAUGAGAUCAUGUACAUUUUGGGAGACCAUUCUUCUGUCAGUGAGAAUGAUGGACUGAAAUUGGCAGCAACUGGGUUUAGAGAUGAAGACUGGGAUGAGGACCUAAGUCAAAGCAAAAGAAUUAGAGGUGAUUGGAUACACCCUGUAAGAAGCAACAGUGAAUCUAUUUUGCUGCCAGCUACCACAGUGUAGAAAAACUGGAGCGUUUUCAAAGAGCGAGAAAUAAGGAAUUGAUUUAAUUUUUUCUAUAAGUGUUUAUGGGACUCAGCUUAGCUAUGAUGGAUUUUUAAAUGAAACUUCAAAUGUUACUUUUUGAGAUCCACGCUUUAGAACUGAAAUCAGGUGAAGUUAUUAUUCCAGGAAGACAUUUUAUGUUGCUGAAAGAUUUGGAUUUAGUAGUUUUCAGUCAUUGGUUGAAAAUCAACCAUGAAUGAGAUUUCCUACCGCUCACAGCUCCCAAGACAGCAUGAGAUUUGUAGGUUUCAGUGUUACACUACAUAACAUUUUAUUAGCAUAUUUUCCUACAAAUGUUCUGCCUUUUGACUACCAAGUCACCUUUCAAUUCCUCACCAUCUAGCUACACCUAGAGCAGUGUCCACACAUCUGCGUGUUUGGGGACUGAAUAAACAGUUGGGAUUAAAUGAAAGAAACGUGGAGUGAAACAAAUAAAAUCCUGGGACUGAUGUGAUUUAAAAUCCUCAUUUCUAGUGAGUAUUCAAAGGACUUUGAUGAGAACCAGAAGAGACAGGUGGGUACUGACUAGGCCGAGGAAAGGAGGAGACAGUUAUAAAUUGGAGGUUGCUAACUCUGAGAGUCAGUUGGCUCCCAAAUCCAAAUAUGUGACUGUGGGACAAUGCACAGUAGGAGAAAUCACUCCUUACCAAUAUAUGUGCUCACACUCGGGUGAUGUGUGGUUUGGACACUUGGCUUGACAUUUGAAGUUUCUUAUACUGUCAAGAAUAUGUACCAGGCUUUAUCUGUCUUCUAAAAUGUACACAUCUGUUUUCAACUCAGGAAAAUGACUGAGAGGCAACCUCUUGUUCUUCUUCACAUCGAGUUAUACACGGGGAAUGAUUUUAAAAAGUACCAUUUCAAUGGGAUUUUAUUAUGUAGUAUAUCAUAUAGACUUUAUAUUAUAAUAGAGACUAAAUGUACAGUUUUACAGUCAUUAGAAAUCACUCAAAGGUGCAGUUCUGCAUGAAUAAGUUCUUCUUAUGGAAUUCAGGAAGGUGUACGAUAGCAGGGUGGACAAGGAGUUGGUUACGUUUUAAGUGAUGAAGGUGGGCAACUAGGACAAACUGAAUGAGAUAAAUAUUACCAUGACUGUCUUAAUAUGCUAAACAUAUGGUGCAUAUUUUAAGAUAAUAAAUCCAGAACUUUUCUAGACAGUUUCCAUUUAUUAACCCAGUAUAUCAAGAGCUUUAUAUUCUAUCCUAGCUCAGUACACACACACACACACACACACACACACACACACACACACACAC